CUGCAGGGAGUGGAGCAGGGUAGUGGCCUUCAUCAUGGAUUGCCAGAGAGUUCGGACUUGUCGGCUGGAGCUUGGCUAGGACAUCUGAUGGAGCGGAAUAGCUUUCUAUUGUUGGUCUGGGAGAGGCUCGGAUGUCUCCGAAGCUACUGACGAGUAUACUGUUGUCGGGUGCCUUAGGCACUGAUACUACGAGUGGGAGUCAUCUACUCUAGAAGCUCGGAUGGAGACUUUCCAUUAACGAAGCCCGGUAGGGGUCCGAUUGCUAG
rnacentral:lncRNA from 1 species